UGUAUAUAAACAGUGGGAGGAGAAAGGUGAUCAUUCCAAACUCGUCUUUUAGAGGCCAAUGUUCAGCAAGAAGACUUCUCUCCUUUCCACUGCCUUACGGAGAGAGUUUUUAUGAGUCAAGGCUUGUUUCGGAUAAGAUGAGCUGAAGCUAAAAAUGGGGGUGUCUUCACAUUGUAGACAGUGAAUGCUGAAAAAGUGACAGUGAACUGAAUUUGUAAAGGAAACACACCACAGGUGAAAUCCCUCCUAGCAGCUGGCUUAUGAAAUAAUGCGAGGGGAGGCCUUAAUGAGCUGAAAGCACCCUCAGCUGGAGAUAAAUAUAUGCAAAUGAGAUGCACAAACAAAGGCGCCUGGACAGAGAAAUAUCUGCAAUUCCAGCAAAAUGCUGCCUGCAGCUAGAAGAUGAACAGCUUUGAUAAAAUGGUAACAGAAAGCACCUUUUUUAUCCUGCAGCUUGUUUUACAUUGCAAUAGACCAUUGUCAUUGUGACCCAUCUAAGCAGGCAGAGGUUGGAUGCGAGGGGGGGACGACGACUCUUUAAACACUUGUUUUUAAGACAUUCAUGAAAUAUAACCAAUGUGCUUAUUUCGUUUUGGAAAUGGGUAUUUAUUUAUUUUCACGCUGGAGGUGGUCAGGUUUAUUUUACCUAUUCUUUGAGGACACUGCAUUCAAUACUGUGUUGUUUUUGGUAUAUUUCACCUGCCGGAAAAUGUUGCUGCCUAAGGAAGAUUAAUUUGUCGUUUGAGAUUUUACUGGGAGAAAACUCCAAGUGGGAUCAGCAUUAGGGUGAGAGAAGGUGUGGAGAAAGCAGACACUUAAAACGUUUGCGGAAAAGCACCCCAAAACAGGCAGCAUUAAUGAAGGCAAUCACAUCUCUAAAUUCAAAGACAGACAUGUAACAUGCUGAUUUUAAUAAGCUUUUAAAGGCAAUCUCUAACUUUUUUUAAGGCUUCCUUUGCGAUGUGAUUGUUUGGGAUUCAUAUAUUGCCAAACACAUUCACUUAAAUAUGUUUCCAAUGCAUAUGGUGGAAGUACCAUAUCUUUAAGAAAACGUGUUGGUUUAACGUCUGAACUUUUUGCAGAUUUAAGGACAUGAUCAGAACAGUGCAGUUAUAUCUCUGCAUUACUGAGCCAUGUAAAGUUUAACUUUAGCACAUCUAUUUUUGGUUAGCAAUUUAUGAUAUUUAAAUCCUCUUUGGAUAUAAAAAUAUAAUCUAGAAGCUUGUAAAAAAAAGGUUGCAUGAAUCAGUAAUGUAUAAAUCUAAAAACAAAAUAUCUAACCUUGUAAACUGAUACUUUUAUAUGGACUUAUUCAUUCAGGAAUUGUCUUUCAUUUUUUUUGUACGGUACAUAGAAAAAAAAUCAUUUUAAAGAAUUCUUAUAAAGUCUGGGUGUUUGCAGCUGCUACUAGGAAAGUUCCAAAUUUUGGAGUCUCAUAUCAUUCUCCCCACCACCACCAAACAUUUAGUUAUCUGUUUGGGAGAGCUUCAUUUUUUUUAAAAAAAAAUACAGUCAUAUAGAUACAGAUGAAAAUAAGUAUUUCCAUGUGCCUUGUGACUGUGUGCAUGUGUACACAUGUAUGUAAUAUUUUUAUAGCAUACAAUACUCUUUUAUUAAUCCGAGUUUCGGUGUCUUUGGAGCCUCAAGAGUUAAACGGAGCCUGGGUGUAUUAAGAAGGAUUUCUCCUCCCACCCAGGUUCGAAGCGGCUGCAUUAUUGCAUUCGGUUGCUGUUGUUUGGAAAGGGCAAACAGCAUCUUAGGCACAGAACGAUGAAAUUACAGCUGAGAUUUAGGUUAGCAAAAGCAGCCUUCCGCAGGCUUUUAUGAUUCAUUAUUUCCCAUUAAAUACAGUAUUAGGAAUGUACACCAGAUAGCUCAUGGUUGCUGCUCUCAGAGCACAUUAUCUAUAUUACACAGGCCUGGGGAGCAGAAUUAGAAAACUUUUGGGGAAUGAGCAAUAUGUGUUUGCUGAUAGAAGUACCAUAUGGCUCAUCUUCAUCAAUUGCUUUCAUUGCGACUCGGAUGCUGAAGAAAUUAAAGUUUUAUUUGAUGUGGCACAGCUUAAUGAACUGUCUUCUGUUAGGAAAAUUGAAUAUGUUUCCUGUUAUUUGAGUGCAGAGCCCUCAUGGUUUGCGGCUGAUGAGGGAUGCAUUAUGAAUUGUUUAUUUAGCAUCUUAUAAACAAAAGAAAAAAUCCUGAAGAAAAAAAUUGUUUUGCAUUGAAGUUAUAUUUUCAAAUUUUUAUCCGUGUAUUGCUUUACCUCGUCAUCCUCGGGUUCAAUUUAUUGCCUGCUUAUUAUUUAAAUGCCAGAAUGAUUGUACAUUUUAAAAUGGUCUUUGAUAUACUAUGUAUCUUGUCUAAUUCCCACAUUAUCAUUUUAAAGGCAUAUGGAAUCACCAUUAGUAAGAAGGAAACACAUCUUAUCAGUUUGAUUUGCUUAACUUUUGAUGACGCUGUUCCCAUCCCAAUACCAUUGAGGACUUUUAAAUGCUUCAGCAGUUUGUGUUGAGAUCUGGUUUCUGUGAACAUAAAUGCCAAAAUUGGGACAAAGGGAAAAAUCUAAAUGACUGUCCACAGAACUCUGAAAAUGCCUGAAGAUUUUCUAAAGGAGAUAUCUGUGGAUUGCGUGGCAUUGUUAUAAAGUUACACCAAGCUGCUGGUGGCAACAUGGUCAAAAUGGUAAGGGAAUAUACUGUAAUGAAAAUGUGAACUAUUAUCCGAUGGUCUCUUUCCAUUCAGGUUAAUUAAGUUCCAGAAAAAGAGAACUUAGACAGCGAUGAAUUUGGCACAAAAACUGUAAAUAUAAGAUGUUUAAAAUGAUGGGAAGCAAUGAAACACAAAAGAUAACGUUUGACAUUUGUAGCAAAGUUGUAUAUUACGGUAGUUAAGUCACUAAUUAGUGGUUCAACAUAGACAUGUUUUAAUUUGGGGGAGGGGGAGAGGCAUUUGAAUAACUCUGGAAAUUUUCCAAGGUCUUUGAGAAUCAGCUUUGAUCAAAGAAGAGGAAUCCCCCUCCUUCUCCUAAAGCUUUUCUGUACUUGCAUAUCAACCAUAAAUAAAUAAACUUUAAAAAUAAAAAUGUUUAGAUGAGCCCAUUUUUCCACAUCUUGCAACACUCGAGAGUUAUUUUUUCCAAAUGCAAAAAGCUAUUUGUCACUUGCCUCUUCCGGCUUUUAAUUAUUUAUUUUAUUUUUGAUGGAAUCUGGCAAAUACUACCGUUAUACAAAUUCUGCUGGAAUCAAAAUACUAUCCGUUAAAAGAACACUUUCUGUUAUGUUUAUAGUAUUUAUGCCAAAAUUUGCAGCUUUUGCUCAGGGAAAACUUUUACGACUGACAUCGCAAGGCAGUUCAUAUGAGGCGUGUCUUUGUCUUUUGCUGAAUAGCUGUUGGGCAAUUCCAGGACACUACAUAGAAACCUGUCUUGGAGAAGAAAUGGUGAAAAGUGAUAUCCUCCCUUUGUUUUUCCUUCUACCCUUGCCAUCUUUAAGCAGUCACAACUGUCUUUUCCUGUGAUCUAGAAAUAACUAAAUUGCAAUGAAACAGAGGCAAAGAUGCACAGCCAAGCGCUGCCGAAGCCACACAAAAAGUUUGGUUUAAAACAGUGGCGUUUCUUAGUGAAGAAGGUGGUGCAUUUUAUGAAACACUGUUCCAUGACAGGCACCUCCUUUGAGGAACACCAUUAUGCAUUGUUAUCAGCAUGGUGUAAUUUGACUGUUGACAAAGUAUCUGUGGCAGUGAGAAUGAAAGCAGUUAGAAGUGUGUCGGAUUGUAAUCAAAAAGAUGCUUAGCUGUGCAACACUGCAUCUUGAGCAGAUUUGAAUCAACAUUGCCUUGAGGGGACAUGCACAUACAAAAAAAAAAGUCCAUUAAUUUUUAGUGAGAAAAUUAGAGUGGCACUUGAUGAAGUGAAAUUUGACAUGCGUUAAUUGCUCCACAGCUCUUCUAAUUAGAGAUUUUCAAAUUCUUUUACUCCUGUCAAAGUGAUGCCACAUUGUCUUAGUGGACAAAGAGUAAAACUGCAAAUUGGGUGGAUCAACAUGGAGGAAUAAGACUAGCUUGUGCUUUAUUUUGUUAACGUCAGUAUUUGAAUUUUGUGGCUCUGCUUACAAAAGUGAGGCAGGAAACUAACAGAGAAAAGAGCAUUUUGUUGCAACACUGUAUUAUAAUAAAACAACUUUCAGUUACUGUCUCAUCAAACCUGAAUGGAAAAGGAAAAAAUACAAUGUACUGAUUUUUGAACUACACAUUCUUAGCCUAAUUCAUGGCUUAGUAAAUAUGAAUUGCUGCUAUAUUGAACUUAACAGGGUUAAACCUGAUGUAAGUCCCAGUU